GAUGAACGCUGGCGGCGUGCCUAAUACAUGCAAGUCGAGCGAACAGAUGAGGAGCUUGCUCCUCGGACGUUAGCGGCGGACGGGUGAGUAACACGUGGAUAACCUACCUAUAAGACUGGGAUAACUUCGGGAAACCGGAGCUAAUACCGGAUAAUAUAUUGAACCGCAUGGUUCAAUAGUGAAAGACGGUUUUGCUGUCACUUCUAGAUGGAUCCGCGCCGCAUUAGCUAGUUGGUAAGGUAACGGCUUACCAAGGCAACGAUGCGUAGCCGACCUGAGAGGGUGAUCGGCCACACUGGAACUGAAACACGGUCCAGACUCCUACGGGAGGCAGCAGUAGGGAAUCUGCCGCAAUGGGCGGAAGCCUGGCGGAGCAGCGCCGCGUGAGUGAUGAAGGUCUUCGGAUCGUAAAACUCUGUUAUUAGGGAAGAACAAAUGUGUAAGUAACUAUGCACGUCUUGACGGUACCUAAUCAGAAAGCCACGGCUAACUACGUG
rnacentral:rRNA from 1 species